AACGAACGCUGGCGGCAUGCCUAACACAUGCAAGUCGAACGAGACCUUCGGGUCUAGUGGCGCACGGGUGCGUAACGCGUGGGAACCUGCCCUUAGGUUCGGAAUAACUCCCCGAAAGGGGUGCUAAUACCGGAUAAUGUCUUCGGACCAAAGAUUUAUCGCCUUUGGAUGGGCCCGCGUUGUAUUAGCUAGUUGGUAGUGUAAAAGCCUACCAAGGCUACGAUCCAUAGCUGGUCUGAGAGGAUGAUCAGCCACACUGGGACUGAGACACGGCCCAGACUCCUACGGGAGGCAGCAGUGGGGAAUAUUGGACAAUGGGCGAAAGCCUGAUCCAGCAAUGCCGCGUGAGUGAUGAAGGCCGUAGGGUUGUAAAGCUCUUUUACCCGGGAUGAUAAUGACAGUACCGGGAGAAUAAGCACCGGCUAACUCCGUG
rnacentral:rRNA from 1 species